GGACUACAAGGGUAUCUAAUCCUGUUUGCUACCCACGCUUUCGUGUCUCAGCGUCAGUCGUGGUCCAGUAAGCUGUCUACACCACAGGUGUUCCUCCUGAUAUCUACGCAUUUCACCGCUACACCAGGAAUUCCGCUUACCUCUCCCACACUCUAGCACUCCAGUCUCCGAUGCAGCCUCCCAGUUGAGCCGGGAGAUUUCACACCAGACUUAGAACACCGCCUACACACUCUUUACGCCCAGUAAUUCCGAACAACGCUUGCUGCCUACGUAUUACCGCGGCUGCUGGCAC
rnacentral:rRNA from 1 species